rnacentral:rRNA from 1 species
CGAGCGAACGGGGAGGAGCCCAGAGCCUGAAUCAGUGUGUGUGUUAGUGGAAGCGUCUGGAAAGGCGCGCGAUACAGGGUGACAGCCCCGUACACAAAAAUGCACAUACUGUGAGCUCGAUGAGUAGGGCGGGACACGUGGUAUCCUGUCUGAAUAUGGGGGGACCAUCCUCCAAGGCUAAAUACUCCUGACUGACCGAUAGUGAACCAGUACCGUGAGGGAAAGGCGAAAAGAACCCCGGCGAGGGGAGUGAAAAAGAACCUGAAACCGUGUACGUACAAGCAGUGGGAGCCUCUUAAUGGGGUGACUGCGUACCUUUUGUAUAAUGGGUCAGCGACUUAUAUUCUGUAGCAAGGUUAACCGAAUAGGGGAGCCGAAGGGAAACCGAGUCUUAACUGGGCGUUAAGUUGCAGGGUAUAGACCCGAAACCCGGUGAUCUAGCCAUGGGCAGGUUGAAGGUUGGGUAACACUAACUGGAGGACCGAACCGACUAAUGUUGAAAAAUUAGCGGAUGACUUGUGGCUGGGGGUGAAAGGCCAAUCAAACCGGGAGAUAGCUGGUUCUCCCCGAAAGCUAUUUAGGUAGCGCCUCGUGAAUUCAUCUCCGGGGGUAGAGCACUGUUUCGGCAAGGGGGUCAUCCCGACUUACCAACCCGAUGCAAACUGCGAAUACCGGAGAAUGUUAUCACGGGAGACACACGGCGGGUGCUAACGUCCGUCGUGAAGAGGGAAACAACCCAGACCGCCAGCUAAGGUCCCAAAGUCAUGGUUAAGUGGGAAACGAUGUGGGAAGGCCCAGACAGCCAGGAUGUUGGCUUAGAAGCAGCCAUCAUUUAAAGAAAGCGUAAUAGCUCACUGGUCGAGUCGGCCUGCGCGGAAGAUGUAACGGGGCUAAACCAUGCACCGAAGCUGCGGCAGCGACACUAUGUGUUGUUGGGUAGGGGAGCG